rnacentral:rRNA from 1 species
UACGUAGGGGGCAAGCGUUAUCCGGAAUUACUGGGUGUAAAGGGUGAGUAGGCGGCAUGGUAAGCCAGAUGUGAAAGCCUUGGGCUUAACCCGAGGAUUGCAUUUGGAACUAUCAAGCUAGAGUACAGGAGGGGAAAGCGGAAUUCCUAGUGUAGCGGUGAAAUGCGUAGAUAUUAGGAAGAACACCAGUGGCGAAGGCGGCUUUCUGGACUGAAACUGACGCUGAGGCACGAAAGCGUGGGGAGCGAACAGG